CAUUCAAUCCUCAGCUAAGUAACAGAACGCUGAAUAGUGAACACUACAGCAGCAACAACAACAACAACAAAACACACACACACUUGUUCUCUCGUCCUUCUGGGUUUUGAGAUAUCUUCUGCGAGUUCCUUCCUCUUUCUUCUUCGCACAAAUAAAUCCAACAAGUCAUGGCCGGCGCCAUUGCAAGUCGAUCUGCGAUUCUUCUUUUGGUCGAAACCAACUCAGAUCCAAAAUCUCUUCUCAUAAGAGUGGAUCUUGCAAUCGAUCUGGCUAUUCAAUUUGUUCAAUAUUUUCAACCAAUGAAACCCAGUCUCAUUUCAACAAAAUCCUCCGUGCAGAUCUGAAUAGUGUCUUCAACCAAGCCGACAUGUCGUCAGUCUCCGUCUCAUGUAUUGCAUGGCAAUGCAACUGAUUUGUUAAGGUAUAAUUGGGAUGGGCUACUAGAUGGACGUGAGUUGGACACUGGAAGGUUUAAGCAUUCAUUCGAAGCAACAGUUGAUGAUUCUUAUCACUUUGAAAUUUUGAAAUGGUAGAAGAGGUGAUAACAAAUGGUAGCAGCCCAAAUGAGGUGCAGGCAAAUGGUAUGGCAGCAUACUUUGUGACAUUGACUAUGUGUCUUGGCCCUUGGUGUGGCAAAAUAUACUUGCUUGACAUACUUUCUCCAUCAAAUGGUAUGGCAGAAUAUUACUUGUGCGACAGUUUCUUUUGGAGAUCAGACAUAUAUAAGUCAUCCAUGGAGGAGAGGAGGAAAUUGCAGAUACCAUGCCUAGAAUUAAAACUGCCAAGAAUUGUUAUUUUCACAAAAUUGAAUUUGUAUAUUAAUUUUUUUUUUAAUAUGAAAUAUUGCAGUCACCAUUUGCUAGGUAGUGUGUUUUCUGGUGAUGGGGCCCACAGUUUGGAAGUCACCAAAAAAGUGAUAAUGUCUUUUUGAGUCUUUGUCAUGCUAGCAAUGCCCACGCUUCCUUAAUUAGUGUCUACAGGGGUGUCUAUUGGUUUUACACACCAAUCACGUUUGUCUUUUACUUCAAUCCACACCAUUCGCAAUGGUGUUUUUUGUUCAGUUUUGUUGUAGUGGAUGUUGGUCUAUUGGGUGGGUUUCAAAUACAAUAAAUAAACUAUAAAUUUGGUAGAAA